UUCUGAGUUGUAUUCUCAUGAAUUUCGCAGAUCUAAACAAGUAAACUCUCUCACUUAGCAUGAGAAAUGGGUGGAGGCUUCUUUCAAAAGGCACUGAGGGCAGCAGACAGAGACCUCUGACCCACUCAGAAGCCACUUGAUCCUCACUGUUAGACAACACUAUUUUAGAAAAUUCCUUAUUCUGUUUUCCGACCUGUAAAGCCUGUUACGUCUCAGCUUUACAUGCAUUUCCUUAGGCAUCCUUGUUUGCCACUGUUCCUGACACAACAGUUUCCCUGGAGUGUGGAGAGUGUGGAGGGCAAUCUGGGGCUCUCACUAGCACAGGAAAGCAGCUGAGAUGCUGACUGUGAGCUUCACCUCCAAACUGGUCUCACUGCACAGCUGUUUAACUCCAUAGUGGCUGGCAAGAGUGAUGUAUUUGAUUUUGUUGUUGCCACAGUGUGCAUUACAGCAGCUGUUGUCAAUUGUUGGUUUUAGGAAGGGGCAAAAAGGCCAGGGCCCUUCCCAGCCAAGAGUGGCACAUUUCUGGAGAAAGUAGGUCAGAUUCACCAUAAAGCAUUGUGUGAGAGUUGCUCCUAUCGGGAUUUGUACAGUCGCAUCAGUCACGAACUUCAUGUAAGCUGUAGAUGCCUAUGUGAGGAACUGCACGGAGACCUCAGCAUGAAAAGCAGAAAAGAAUUCUGUUCUGUGAAGGGUUGUCCUAACCAAACUAAUCUCCAUGAGAUGCAAGCAGCUUUCAGCAGGAGACUAGGCAAUAUGUCUCUCACUUCUUACACAUCUGUUAUGUGAUCUUCUCCUUGGAUGGAAAGUGUAGAACACAGUAGAAGAUGGGAUGAUUUUUAUGAGCCAUCUUUGUUAAUUCACCAUCUCUGGGUAUGAACUGAACAAGGUCCUGGGUAUCUGUACACGAGAUAUGGGACUGCAUGAGAUGCGGUAUCUCAGCCCUCUAAACAUCUUCAUGACCUUCAAGGCAUUUUCACCUUCAAGAUAUGACAAGACUGUUGAGAUCCAGGAAGGAACAGGUGACAGACUUCUCAGGCAAGGAAGCAAGUCUGGUCCUCGGAAUGCUACCAAAAUACUUCCAACUAAAAAGAAGGCAAAACACGAAGUCUACUAUUUUAGAGUGGAGGAGUUAUUUAAGAAAUGA
rnacentral:lncRNA from 1 species